rnacentral:tRNA from 1 species
AGCUUAGUGGUGAGAGCAUUGGUGCGCAAAGCCAAAGGUUCCGGGUUCGAUUCCCAG